UUUGUCCACUAAUUAUGGACCCGUAUGAAAGGCCGCAUGAGAAUCUAACUGUCUCUUGUAAUUAAUUUAUAAAACUGAUCUUCUAGUCCAAAAGCUAGAAUAAACCUAUAAGACGAGAAGACCCUGUGAAGCUUAAAAAACCCCAUUAAACCAAAUAAUGGGUACUUUUAGUUGGGGCAACUUUGGAAAACAAUUUAACUUCCAAAAUAUAAAAUAACGCCACACCAAGACCUACAAGUCAAUAAAGACCCAGUAUAACUGAUAAAUGAACCAAGUUACUCCAGGGAUAACAGCGCAAUCUUCUUCAAGAGCCCAUAUCAAAAAGAAGGUUUACGACCUCGAUGUUGGAUCAGGACACCCAAAUGGCGCAGCCGCUAUUAAAGGUUCGUUUGUUCAACGAUUAACAGU
rnacentral:rRNA from 1 species